rnacentral:rRNA from 1 species
CCUACGGGUGGCAGCAGUGGGGAAUAUUGGACAAUGGGCGAAAGCCUGAUCCAGCCAUGCCGCGUGUGUGAAGAAGGCCUUCGGGUUGUAAAGCACUUUCAGUGGGGAAGAAAGCCUUGGGGCUAAUACCCUCGAGGAAGGACAUCACCCACAGAAGAAGCACCGGCUAACUCCGUGCCAGCAGCCGCGGUAAUACGGAGGGUGCGAGCGUUAAUCGGAAUUACUGGGCGUAAAGCGCGCGUAGGCGGUCUGAUAAGCCGGUUGUGAAAGCCCCGGGCUCAACCUGGGAACGGCAUCCAGAACUGUCAGGCUAGAGUGCAGGAGAGGAAGGUAGAAUUCCCGGUGUAGCGGUGAAAUGCGUAGAGAUCGGGAGGAAUACCAGUGGCGAAGGCGGCCUUCUGGACUGACACUGACGCUGAGGUGCGAAAGCGUGGGUAGCAAACAGGAUUAGAUACCCCAGUAGUC